rnacentral:rRNA from 1 species
AUUGAACGCUGGCGGCAUGCCUUACACAUGCAAGUCGAACGGCAGCACGGGUGCUUGCACCUGGUGGCGAGUGGCGAACGGGUGAGUAAUACAUCGGAACGUACCUUAUCGUGGGGGAUAACGCAGCGAAAGCUGUGCUAAUACCGCAUACGCCCUGAGGGGGAAAGCGGGGGAUCGCAAGACCUCGCGCGAUUAGAGCGGCCGAUGCCUGAUUAGCUUGUUGGUGGGGUAAAAGCCCACCAAGGCGAGGAUCAGUAGCUGGUCUGAGAGGACGAUCAGCCAAACUGGGACUGAGACACGGCCCAGACUCCUACGGGAGGCAGCAGUGGGGAAUUUUGGACAAUGGGGGCAACCCUGAUCCAGCAAUGCCGCGUGAGUGAAGAAGGCCUUCGGGUUGUAAAGCUCUUUUGUCAGGGAAGAAACACCGGCUCUAACACAGUCCGGGAAUGACGGUACCUGAAGAAUAAGCACCGGCUAACUACGUGCCAGCCGCCGCGGUAA